rnacentral:rRNA from 1 species
UACGUAGGGUGCAAGCGUUGUCCGGAAUUAUUGGGCGUAAAGAGCUCGUAGGCGGUUUGUUGCGUCGGCUGUGAAAACCCGGGGCUCAACUCCGGGCCUGCAGCCGAUACGGGCAGACUAGAGUUCGGCAGGGGAGACUGGAAUUCCUGGUGUAGCGGUGAAAUGCGCAGAUAUCAGGAGGAACACCGGUGGCGAAGGCGGGUCUCUGGGCAAUAACUGACGCUGAGGAGCGAAAGCGUGGGGAGCGAACAGG